rnacentral:lncRNA from 1 species
AGGAAGAGUAGAGAACGAACUAAAACACCAAGAAAGAAGAACCCGGAGGAGGAAGAAAGAAGAAAAACUU